rnacentral:rRNA from 1 species
CGGCACGCUUAACACAUGCAAGUCGAACGAGAGAAGAGAAGCUUGCUUUUCUGAUCUAGUGGCGGACGGGUGAGUAACACGUGAGCAAUCUGCCUUUCAGAGGGGGAUACCGAUUGGAAACGAUCGUUAAUACCGCAUAACAUAAUUGAACCGCAUGAUUUGAUUAUCAAAGAUUUAUCGCUGAAAGAUGAGCUCGCGUCUGAUUAGCUAGUUGGUAAGGUAACGGCUUACCAAGGCGACGAUCAGUAGCCGGACUGAGAGGUUGAUCGGCCACAUUGGGACUGAGACACGGCCCAGACUCCUACGGGAGGCAGCAGUGGGGAAUAUUGCACAAUGGAGGAAACUCUGAUGCAGCGAUGCCGCGUGAGGGAAGAAGGUUUUAGGAUUGUAAACCUCUGUCUUCAGGGACGAAAAAAGACGGUACCUGAGGAGGAAGCUCCGGCUAACUACGUGCCAGCAGCCGCGGUAAUACGUAGGGAGCGAGCGUUGUCCGGAAUUACUGGGUGUAAAGGGAGCGUAGGCGGGAUCGCAAGUCAGAUGUGAAAACUAUGGGCUUAACCCAUAAACUGCAUUUGAAACUGUGGUUCUUGAGUGAAGUAGAGGUAAGCGGAAUUCCUAGUGUAGCGGUGAAAUGCGUAGAUAUUAGGAGGAACAUCAGUGGCGAAGGCGGCUUACUGGGCUUUAACUGACGCUGAGGCUCGAAAGCGUGGGGAGCAAACAGGAUUAGAUACCCUGGUAGUCCACGCCGUAAACGAUGAUUACUAGGUGUGGGGGGACUGACCCCUUCCGUGCCGCAGCAAACGCAAUAAGUAAUCCACCUGGGGAGUACGACCGCAAGGUUGAAACUCAAAGGAAUUGACGGGGGCCCGCACAAGCAGUGGAGUAUGUGGAUUAAUUCGAAGCAACGCGAAGAACCUUACCAGGUCUUGACAUCGUAUGCAUAGCUCAGAGAUGAGUGAAAUCUCUUCGGAGACAUAUAGACAGGUGGUGCAUGGUUGUCGUCAGCUCGUGUCGUGAGAUGUUGGGUUAAGUCCCGCAACGAGCGCAACCCUUACUGUUAGUUGCUACGCAAGAGCACUCUAGCAGGACUGCCGUUGACAAAACGGAGGAAGGUGGGGAUGACGUCAAAUCAUCAUGCCCCUUAUGACCUGGGCCUCACACGUACUACAAUGGCUGUCAACAGAGGGAUGCAAAGCCGCGAGGUGGAGCGAACCCCUAAAAGCAGUCUUAGUUCGGAUUGUAGGCUGCAACCCGCCUACAUGAAGUCGGAAUUGCUAGUAAUCGCAGAUCAGCAUGCUGCGGUGAAUACGUUCCCGGGCCUUGUACACACCGCCCGUCACGCCAUGGGAGUCGGUAACACCCGAAGCCUGUAGUCUAACCGCAAGGAGGACGCAGUCGAAGGUGGGAUUGAUGACUGGGGUGAAGUC